CAGCCGCCGCGGUAAUACGUAGGUGGCAAGCGUUGUCCGGAGUUAUUGGGCGUAAAGGGCUCGCAGGCGGUUUCUUAAGUCUGAUGUGAAAGCCCCCGGCUCAACCGGGGAGGGUCAUUGGAAACUGGGAAACUUGAGUGCAGAAGAGGAGAGUGGAAUUCCACGUGUAGCGGUGAAAUGCGUAGAGAUGUGGAGGAACACCAGUGGCGAAGGCGACUCUCUGGUCUGUAACUGACGCUGAGGAGCGAAAGCGUGGGGAGCGAACAGGAUUAGAUACCCCCGUAGUCCCUGUCUCUUAUAC
rnacentral:rRNA from 1 species